rnacentral:rRNA from 1 species
GUUGUAUGGUUAAGUGACUAAGCGUACAUGGUGGAUGCCUUGGCAGUCAGAGGCGAUGAAGGACGUACUAACCUGCGAUAAGCUGUGAGAAGUCGGUAAGAGACGCUAUUACUCACAGAUUUCCGAAUGGGGAAACCCACCCAAGAUAACUUGGGUAUCGUUACAUGAAUACAUAGUGUAACGAGGCGAACCGGGAGAACUGAAACAUCUAAGUACCCCGAGGAAAAGAAAUCAACCGAGAUUCCCUCAGUAGCGGCGAGCGAACGGGGAUUAGCCCUUAAGUUUCUUGGAAGUUAGUGGAAUGGUCCUGGAAAGGCCAGCGAUACAGGGUGAUAGCCCCGUACAUGAAAACGACCUUGAAGUGAAAUCGAGUAGGGCGGGACACGUGACAUCCUGUCUGAAUAUGGGGGGACCAUCCUCCAAGGCUAAAUACUCCUGACUGACCGAUAGUGAACCAGUACCGUGAGGGAAAGGCGAAAAGAACCCCUGUGAGGGGAGUGAAAUAGAACCUGAAACCGUGUACGUACAAGCAGUGGGAGCCCUUCGGGGUGACUGCGUACCUUUUGUAUAAUGGGUCAGCGACUUACAUUUUGUAGCGAGGUUAACCGUAUAGGGGAGCCGUAGGGAAACCGAGUCUUAACUGGGCGUCUAGUUGCAAGGUGUAGACCCGAAACCGGGUGAUCUAGCCAUGGGCAGGUUGAAGGUUGAGUAACAUCAACUGGAGGACCGAACCCACUAACGUUGCAAAGUUAGGGGAUGACCUGUGGCUGGGGGUGAAAGGCCAAUCAAACUCGGAGAUAGCUGGUUCUCCCCGAAAGCUAUUUAGGUAGCGCCUCGGACGAAUACUACUGGGGGUAGAGCACUGUUUGGACUAGGGGGUCAUCCCGACUUACCAACUCCAUGCAAACUCCGAAUACCAGUAAGUAAUAUCCGGGAGACACACGGCGGGUGCUAACGUCCGUCGUGAAGAGGGAAACAACCCAGACCGCCGGCUAAGGUCCCAAAGUUCUGGUUAAGUGGGAAACGAUGUGGGAAGGCUCAGACAGCUAGGAUGUUGGCUUAGAAGCAGCCAUUAUUUAAAGAAAGCGUAAUAGCUCACUAGUCGAGUCGGCCUGCGCGGAAGAUGUAACGGGGCUCAAACCAGGCACCGAAGCCGCGGAUUCACACUUAUGUGUGAGUGGUAGGGGAGCGUUCUGUAAGUCUGCGAAGGUGUAUCGAGAGGUAUGCUGGAGAUAUCAGAAGUGCGAAUGCUGACGUAAGUAACGAUAAAGGGGGUGAAAAGCCUCCUCGCCGGAAGACCAAGGGUUCCUGUCCAACGUUAAUCGGGGCAGGGUGAGUCGACCCCUAAGGUGAG